ensembl:lncRNA
UUCUCAGGAUAACUUUGAAAAAUAAUUUUGAAAAGUUCCUGGAAAAUUCACCUGUGUGAUUGUUGUUUUGAGAAGACUGAAGAUCCAUCUAUAUGGAGAGCUGCAGGAGCUACUGGGUGAAGGGUAGUGGACAUGCCGUGUGGAAGCAUGAGUGGCACGAGGGUGACUCAGACUCUGUGCAAGUCUGACAGUGCUGUGAGGCUCCCUACUCUCCCCCCUGCACCCUGCUUGUUGAAUUGCAAAUGAAGUACAGCCAGGAGGACCACCUGCAAACACGGUGUUCAAAGAGUGCAGACCAGCACUACGUUACUGCAAGAUAAUAUGUAGAAAAUGUGCAUAUAAAGCAGAGCGCAUCUCUUGGCACACACAUGAGGUUGCCCAAGCGCUUCAGUCCCGCAAAGUUUCUUCAAAGAAACCCCCAGCCUGGAACUGGUGCGGCUCUGCAGAGGAAAACGCCGCACUGUACUUCAAAGCGGAGAAAAUCUGCAGCUGCCGGGAGCCCGCCUGCCCCAGGAGGUGUCACUGUUGGGACUGGCAGGGUGAGCUCCGGAGCUGCUGUUUGUUUUCUAAAGCCUGCUUUGACCGUGAGGUAGGAAUUGACCUGUGCUACACCUCCCCUCCCCACCCCAGCCAGUCUGGGAAAGGGGAUCGCAGGUAAAAACGAGCUGGUGGCUUCUGUGGAGGUAUGGGCAUGUAUGUAAGUGAGAUAAGAUACUCAGCAUUCAGUUUUUUAUUUUAAGAAAUACCAGUUAAUCCAGGCUGCUUACAGUAGUUGCUUUCCCUGUUCUCAAAGUGCUGAUGAAUCACACCAAAUCGGGGAGGAUAUACCAGGGUAUAGCUUCUACUUUUUUCCUUUUAAUACUGUUUGAGGUGAAGAACAAAUGAAUUUGUGAUGUGAUAUUUGCUGACUAAAUGUUUUUUACUAAAUAAUGCUCUCUCUUUAAAUUUACUAAAUCAUAUGCUUUAAGAAAAAAGUGCAUACUUUUAGAGCACUCAAGGAUUGAAAGUUUUCUAACCAUAAAUAUAAUGCAAAUGAUCUGCGAUGCAGACACACAUACACACACACACACACAUAUAUAUACACAUACACACACAGUAACUUCAAGAUUAGGAAUUUUGAUGAUGAGUAUUCUUUUUCAUGGCAAAAAAAAAAGAAAAAAAAUCUUUGAAAGUUAAACUUAGUUUUUGGAGUAUACUGCAGCCUGAGGUAAGUUGCUUCCAUGGUUAAUUAUAUUCGCCAUCGGUGUUUUGCAUCUUAUUUCUAGUAUCAGUGUCAUUUUAUUCAGCCUUCAGCUUGGGGAUUUGCUACACUAGAUCUUCCAGUUUGCCCAUUUUCUGUGGGUUUAUGUGUCAAGAAGUUCCACACCUCCACAGCAGUAAGGGAAGGUCUAGCAAGUUGCAUCUUCUGCUUGGCAGUUAUUGCUUAUCCUGAUGGUUUGUGGUGGAUAUCUGGACAUAAGAAUUCUAGGAAUUUAAAAAAAAAAAAAAAAAGUCAAUUUAGUUUUAAAUAUCUUCAAACUCUCUUUGUAUUUUUGAGUAAAGCACAAAGCAGAAACUCUUAUUUUCUCUCAAACGAACUGCUGAUGUUUGCAC